rnacentral:lncRNA from 1 species
UUCAUAGCUCUGGUAAUACGAUUGAAUGCAGACCGUGAAGUUGCUUCUGGGACGGCGAGGUAUCGAAGCUAACGCCACAAACAUGAGAGGCGACACCGUCCUUGAUAUGCUAUUGGAUUCACCCUGCCAACAUGGGGAUCUAUUGUUGGGAGAACUGAUUCGGGCAGCAGGUGGAAGAACCGCCGCAGAAGAAGGGAAGACUCAGCCGAAAUCGUCACCGAGCGAUGCCAGAGCCUCUGCCACUGUCGCGUCACACAGAAGCCGACCAAAUCGUUGGAGCCCCUUCCGACGCCAGGCUCGACCUUCUAAGGAUGACCGCAGCCCCCGAAAAGUAUUGUCUGAACUUAAAGAAAGGUACAACAACAAACCAGCAACACUAAUGGUGGUGGCGACGUUGAUCGCCACCAUCACAUUCCAAGCUGGGAUGAACCCCCCUGGUGGGUUUAAGCAGAAAGAUGCUGGUGGGCCGACUCCCCCCAAUGCAGAAGUCAAUUUUGAUGGGAGUUCAAGUGAAGGGGAGGCAGUUCUAAAACAUGGUCUCAAGUUAUUCCUGCUGUUCGACAUGUUCGGGUUGUUUGCAUCCUUGAGCAUCAUUCUUUUGUUGAUAUGUUGUGUGCCCAGACGGAAGAAAACGGUGAUGGGAAUCCUAAAGUGGAUUCUAUGGCUGGCGGUGUUCUCGACGGCCUUAGCAUUCUCGACCGCCAUUAUGCGAAUAUUUUUCUAUCCGCCCUACACUACCAUCCUUCUCCUGAGCUGGUUCGGAAUCCUCAGUCUCUUCAUGGUUUGGGUGUGCUUUAGAGCGAUCAGGUGCUUGUUGCGCAAAGGUGGAUGCUGGAAGAAGAAAGAUAGAGAAGGAGAAAGCCAGGGAGGCCCCAGAAGGGCCGUUGCCAUCUGCACGAAGAUUGUGGUGGGCGUGUUGAUAAUAAUUCUUUUAGGAGUUUUUCUUAUUGUAAAUAUUUUCGUGUUUAGUUAUAUAGCAGAAAGGUCAAUGAUUGGAUAAUAUGACCUAUCGUUAUUCCUAUAUGGUUUAUCCUUUAUCAUCUUUUAAAGUUACUUUGUCUUAUUUUCAUAAUGUAAUUUGCUUUUAUGUAUUUUGUUCCACGGUAUAUAGUAAAUCUGUAACUUUAAUCAUUAUUAACUUUGGUUUUGUUGUUACAGAUGAUUUAUGAGAGUUUUGUGGAACAUUAUAUCUCUUACAUAUUAAUGAUUUAUUUAUUUAAAAACACUGGAUUCAGCAGAUCUAAAACUUAUCAAUAGUACAAUGAUGCACUAAUAUAUUUAUAAAAUCUUAAAUAUCUGAAUCAUUAUCCAUACUUGAAUCAAUUAGAACCGACAUAAUAUUCAAUGGUGCAUAAAAGAUAACAAUAAUCUAAUGUAUAGAAUUAUCAAUUAUUAACAACUGUGUGCCUAUACUUAUGUUGCACAUAAUUUUAUGUAUCGAAUCAAACACUCCACCUUAUCCACUUUGAUAUAAUCAAUAAUCAAUCUCAUCAUUGUGAUAUUAAAUUGAGGGUUCAUGGGUAUUAAGAUUGAGAAAUAAAAGAAAAAAUCAAAACUUUAUAUACUCCCAGUGUCACCAUCUAUCAGAAUAAAUCGGGUCAACACUCAUCAUGAAGAUUCCACAUGAGUCCAAAAGACGUGUGUACCGGCUUCAUCGGCAAUAUGGCAAUGGCGCAAUACAUGAUGCUUGUCCAUGUAUCAUCACGUACGUACGAUAUGAUGACGUGGUGAGAGGACGAGUGCAGCAACAUCAUACCUAACUCAUCCCUUUUCCUGGACGACGUCAUGCCAUGGUCGUACCGCAAUACAAGUGUAAGUUUGGAAUCGGAAUAGUGUCUGCUACUGAUGCAUGGUUGAGUCGCUAAUAGGACCUCAUCGUUAUCAAAAGUACUCAUUUCGUAGCCAUCAAUCAUCACAGUUUUAGAUUUAGAAUAUAGGAAUAUUUACAUAAUAAUAAGAUAUAUUUUGGGUUCAAGACAUGUCACAAUCGAUGUCACGUCGUAUUACAGUCGGGUCGGCAAGGGGAGCACCCCAACACGCUAAGUCAGAAUCCGUACCAAGGCAUUGUUUGGCAUGUCCCGUCCCGGAAGCUCGGGCAGUGUCGUCUGAUGCUGUCCCGCAUGUCCCGAUACAAAGGUCGCACAGUACCGUCUCAUCCCCCGAGGAUUAGCUGUCACGCCGAACCCGUGUGCGACCGACCACCCCUACUGAUUUGCUCGUCGGAGGGGCCAAAGUUGGGAAUCACCUGACUAUAGCCAUUUUUGCAGGCAAGCGGCCACCCCCGAGCCACGAGCGUCUCAACAUGGGAAUCGCCAUCCAAUGAACGAAGGCAAGCUGCCAACCAGCCCGGGAACGGAGAGACACUGCUCAACGUAGACGACGCCUGAACUGAGAAACGCUGAUCAACACCCUGUUGCGAGGGCCCGGCCUACCUCAACGUCCAAUUCAACUGGUAGAAGACUCCCGACGUCGAUCGUGGACCGAGCCGUGCUAACUCACCAGCUACGGCACAUUUGUUCACCAACAUAUAUAAUGUGGAACACAUAAUUUAAGAUGGUUUAUUUAUUUAUAUGCAUCAUGAUUUUAGUUUCUUUUUUUCUUCUCUAUUUCUCUCGGAUUCAUAGAGUAAUCAUUUAAUUAGCACGGAUUGAUGAAUCCGUGGUUAAAGAGUUGCUGCAGUACGCAGACGCUGCCAAUCUCUGCUCGGAGAACCGACAACGACGGCUUCAUGCCCGCCCACACUGCAAGCCUUACAAGGCAGGCUUGAUGUGUUGACAGUGUUACCGGAUGCGUGCCCGGAGUCCGAUCGAGCUGUGGCAUCGCAAGGUGACUCCAUCCUUCAUCUUGCUGUGAAAUCAAACAGCUUCUAGACAGUGCAGUUCUUGCUGAACAGAACGGAUGAGAACGAUGAGCUACUCAACUUUGGAGAUGCGAAGGGCAACACCAUCCUGCACCUUGCUGUGGCCAGAAAACACCUCUAGGUAGGUAUUCCUGAUCCCAAUUAGAGGAAAUAGAUUUAAAUGUCUUCUUCUUUUCACAAGGUGUUCACAAGGAAAUAGAUUUAGGACUUUCAUCUGACUCCUAUAUAUAAAUAAAUUAGAGAUGCAUGAUGUACAUGAAUAAAGUAAUUGUACUUGUAUGGAGAGAAGAAGAUGAAAGGAAGAACAAGAGAGCAACAUUGAAUUACUCUUCCUGUCUAAAACCAAUUACUAACUCAUGCAUUAAAGUGGCCGGAGAAGAUUAAAGGUUUGUCUGCAGGAAUGCAAACUUUUAGAGUAUAAUUAUUGCAUAAUCUAGUUCAUAAUUAAUCACCCAUGGGAUAUUUAUUAUAUAAUUUAAUUCAUAUCUAAUCUAUCCAUAGGACAUUUUAUAACUAUUUAAUAAUUUAAUCACAUAAUUCAAUCCAUCAUCCUUCUUUUGCGUAACUCUGAAAAAUUAAGAAAUAAUCAUAUAAUAAAUUACACCUCUAAAAAUUGAGAAAUACAUAAAUUCUUUAUGCUUUCGAUAUAUGCUUUUGAAAUAUACAUAAAUACCAAGUCUUCCUUGGUAUUUAUACAAAAUUUACAAAACAUCAGUUUAUAUUCAUUUUAAAUUCAUGGCUUGCCAAUAAUAUUUUCAAAAUAAAAGCAUAAAUAUAACUAGUGUCACAUACAAUAACAUAAGACAUUAUAAUUACCAUUCAUAUAAAUAUAACUAGGGGUUCAUAAAUAUAAAUAUAGUUAGAAUGUAAAUGUUAAAAUACAAAUCGUAAUAAUAUCAAUGGCUAUGAUAACAUUAUAUUACUGUGAUAAAACCGUGAAUCAUGUUUAACACUUAAUGUGUAGGUAACGCAUAUCUCCUUGUAUCAAGAUGCAAAAGAAUCUAGUCUUUGAAAUAUAUUCUAAUAUAUAACCCGGAUUGAUAGGUUUCAUAUCAUACUCAUACUGAUCAUAUAAGAAAAUAAUAUAUCAAUUACUGUUUACCAAAUUAUGGGUUUCGACAUGUCUCUUUUUGUAUCUCAUUUCAAGACUAAUAUAAUUAUAUAUCAUUUGAAACCAAUAAUAAUUAUAUAUACUUUAAUCAUUUUUAAAUAUAAUGUUAAACAUAUAUUUUUGUAUAAAUUCUGAUAAGAUAACUUUAAAAUGCUUAUAAAAUAAUAAAUAACUAUUCAAACCAUAUACUUUCCCAAAUUGUAAACAUAUAAAUUUUUUUUAUACUUUUAAAUAAUAAAGAUUUAUAAAUCUGGUAAAUCAUAUGUGUUUUAUCAAUUUCAAACAAAUGCAUUAACACUUUUCAAAACAAACUAGACGGAAUCAUCAGAUACUCACUUUGAUAGCCAUGUACUUAUACAAACAUAUAGCUCUCAAAUUUCCCUUUUUCUCUCCUUUUUUUUUUAAUAUAAUAAUUUUUCUCCUUUUAUUUCCUUCACAACAUAAAUAUUUAGUUAACGUAGUACAUCAGGAUGUAUCAAUCUAUAAUUCAAUACACAAAUAUAAUUAAUAAGAAUAUAAGAGAUUUCAAAAUCAUACUUAAUAUAAUAUUUUCUGUAGUCAUCUGAAUUCAUCUGAUAUCAAACUGAGUCCUUGAUUUUUUUUAAAUUUUAUUUUUUUCCUUCCUUCCCUUUUGUUGUUGUUCUUCUUCUUUUCUUUCUUUCAUUCUCUCGUUUAGGUUCUCAUAGCUGAUGCCUCCCUAUCCUCUCUCAAAAAGAACUCAUCAGUUUUUCUUUGAUGCUUUUUCCUAUAUUAUACGUAAAUUCUCAUCGUAAAUAGAAAUGGUUGUGUAUUUCUAUAAUCUAUGAAUUCGUGCUCUACCAAUCAAAUAAGAAAAAUUAUAUUUCAACGUGGAAUGAAAAAGAUAAAUUCUACCAAUCAAAUAAGAAAAAAUCUAUUUCAACGUGGAUGGGUAGAAGGAGCCUUUUUCUUAGCUUGAUCUAUGGCCUCUCUCUCUCUCUCUCUCCUUAAACAGGAUCCUCCCUCUCUUUCUCUUUCCUUCUCCCUCCUCUUAUUUUCUUCCUCUCUUCUUCUUUUGUUCUUCUCUGUUUCCGUUUCCAUCUUUCUUUCUCCUAUUUCUUUCUUCUUCACCCUUCUCUUUUUCUUCUUCUCUUCCUUACCUCUGUGUUCUUUCUUUAUCUCCCACAGCUCCCACUUAGCCUUUGUUUUUUUUUUUUUACUUUUUAUAUUUUAAUUCCGGUAAUCUUUACAUUUAUAAUUAGAACCUCAGAUUAAAUUUGAAAUACUACACAAUAUACCGAUAUAAUAUUCUUAAACACUGAAUUGGAUGAUCAAAGAUCUUAAGAAUUUACAUAGUUAGAAGAAAAAAAACACAAUAUAUACUUUAAAUAUCUCCUCUCAUAAGCAAAACGAUUUAAUUUUGAUGUAUGAAUGAAAUACGAAUAUAUGUAUGUCCCAUAUGUAUGAAUACAAACAUAAAUGAAAAAUAGUGAUUGUACGAAUAAUUUUUAAUUAAAUAUUAAAAAAAAUAUAAAUAUAUGAUUCAAACUCAUAGUCUACUCUCGCACCAUCUUCAAAAAUUUAAUUGAUGACCACACAACCUAAGAGUCUAAACUAUUAGGAAAGGACUUAACACAAAAUAAAAAAAAAUUAGAAAGCACACAUUUAGAGAAAAAUCUUUCUGCUGACUGAGUGUAUAACAGCACUGCAAUUUCCUUUGAGGAUUUGUUCGUAUUUGGAAUUAAACGUUCACGUAACACAAAUAAAUAUGCAACUUAAAAGAACGGAAGCUUUUUAGUGGCUUAUGUACUCAAAGAGUUGCACCACUACAAUACACUUAAUCGAUCGAGCAAUAUGCCUUUUCAAACCGAAUGGCUCUUUUAAGGGGUAUUGUGAACCUGUGCAUAUCGAUCGUGUGACCAUUGGUAAGAGUCAAACAUUGUUAAUUUCCUGAAGUGGGCAAUCGAAUGAUUUUUUCAGCUGGACAAGAAAGAAUGAUGCAUGUUGGUUGGAUAUCGUUAAGUCGGAGUUUGAUUGUCUGACGUGUGAAUGAGAUUCGAAUCUAAUCGUAAUCCAUUUUUAAGUUCAUCCCAAGUUCACGUGUUGGAAAGCCGGGGGAUUGAAUCCAAGGUAUUAUAAAAUAUUACGUUGGGACAUACUCAACAAGGUUCCUCUGGUAUGAACUUAGUCAAGUUUGGAUGGUUUAGUCAAGUAUAUUUAGUCAAAUUUGCAUAUCUUUGUGGUGGUCGAAUAUCUCUUCAUGGUUUAUCCUUGGCUAUGGAAUAUUGCUCUUUCUCUGGAUCAUCUGUGUUAGUAGACUCGGGACCACCUACUAGCAUUCUUUGAGUAGAAGAGUUCGACUUAAAGGAAUCUGAACUACUAAUCUCAAGCUCCACCUGCUUCUGCGCACUAUCAUUUGUACAACUAGUAGAAUCCUCUUUAGAAGAUAACAUAGACAAUUCAUCAAAAGUAACAUCUCUACUGAUUACAAAUUUUGGGGAUUUGGGAUCAGAACAUCAUAAUCUGUAUCCUUUCACCCCAGAAGCAUACCCAAGGAAAAUACAUUUUUUAGCUCGAUGCUCUAAUUUUCCUUCAUUUACAUGCAUGUAUGCUGGACACCCAAAAAUUUUAAAAUCAGAGUAAUCAGCAGGAGUACCUGACCAAACUUCCUCCGGAGUUUUAGUUGUUAGAAGUAACGACUAUUCAUCAUAGCCUCUCUAAAGUCUUAUCAGAUGAUAUUAAUUGUAUUCAUGUCGAAAUUGAUUCUAAGUGCCUUGUCGACAUACUAAGUGGUACAUCUCGACUUUGAUAGAACUAAUGAGAUUAUGCUAUUGUUAAGAUAUUUUCACUCUUCCUUGAUCACAAAUGUAUAUCAUAAAUAUAAUAGAGGAGCCAACUGACUAGCGAACUACGCUAGAGUGCAUCUAAUUACUAUUUUUAGGUGAUUUUUGUACCCUAUGCUAUCUAAUAAAUUUUUUUUUUCCUUUUUGCAAAACAAAAAAAAAGUAUGUCAGGAUUGACGUUGACUUGCAAUUUUUGUAAUCCUCAUUUAAUGAUAAUGUUCAUUGAGAAGAAAUUUGAUUUCCAAGUUUGCUGGUCAACAAUUGAACAAUUGAAUUUUAUACAAACGCCGCAGCAAAGUGAGGUCUCUCGCAUAAGCUGCUUCCUCUAGUCUCGGAUCCAUGCUCAAUUAGUCUCCAGAUGUGCUUGCAGAUAACUCGACGCAAGAACACCUAUACAUGUAGGCUUGUGGUUGGAGCAGUUCCUCCUGGUUCAGGAGGCGAGGUUUCUUCUUGUCGAGCCUGUCCUCACCAGACGCCAAAGAGACGACUGGGUCAUCGAGCUCACAGUGGCCACUGCAGUCCCGUUUAAACAUCUUAUCCCAAGGAAUCGAUGCGGUGUAAACGCAGCGAGGGAGACGAAAGCCGAACGGCGAGUGGGAUAGCAACAGCGUGCGCAAUUGUUCGGAGAAAAAUUGGAUGUUUUUGCAGACGUCAACUGCCGUGCUUACGAGACUGCAUGCUGAACACGUUAACCUAACAUCACCUUGGUGUCCUGUCCGGCUUAUCAACUUCUUCAACCCUAACAGCGAGACUCGUAGCUCAUGACCGUUCUAAUAUAAUCUUCUUUACUUUUCAAAAGAAAAAAAAAGUCAUCCACGCUUUGGGACAAGCCGAAAUGGCUCGCUCCAUCAUCACUUUCCAACUAGUUUAUCAAUACACAGGACGUCUCCAUUUCAAGGAUCCGCUGAAGCAAUGUUUAUCAAUAUAUUAGCAGUCGAAAUCUUUCAUUUAUUGUGAAUAUUUGGAUGGUACAAGUGGCAGAAUUCCAAUCGAACUAAGCUUUCUGUGCAACAGAUCAAAUCAAUGUUAGUUAACCCUUCAUAUGUAUGAUUUCCAUCCACUAAAUCUGCUUGCCUUGAUAGCUCCUCGUCGUUUGUGGCAUCUCCCACUCAUUUACCGAUUAAAAUUUUAAGUGAAGAUAGGUUUUAGGAAGAAAUUAUUGUAAUUAGAAGAAUCCCUCUCAUCAAAAUAAUCUCCUAAGAAAUUUUGGACUAAUCAAAACUUUUUAUUGAUCAAUAAUUAUAAUUAAAUACUAUAAUAUAUCUUACUUAAUCCGAUAGACUUAUAUAAUUUAUUAAUUUUGUCCUGACCUUUACUCGGGUUUCUGUAGGUGGAUAUUAGGGGACACAUCGUCAUAUGGAUCGGUCGUAUCAGAUAGUAGACAGGCCGUGUCUGUCAUUUUCUACGUGAAGAAAAGUUAGGAAAAGCUAUAUCAUAAGUCCAUCAUGUUUCAUCAACAUUCUCAAACACAAAUACCGCACAUCGACUGUCCCACCUUCACUUCAUUCUCUAGAUAGUUUCGGCGAACGAGAAAGCAAGCUGAGAAAAAGUAUUCUACCAAGUCCAGACUGUUAGAGCUAGCCCCAAAAAAUUUACCAUAAGGUAAUUUUGACAACCCAACAAGACAAUAAAACGGAAAGAAUAAAACGAGACAAGAACACUAGAACACCAGUUAUACGUGAUUCGGUCAAUUGACCUACAUUCACGGACGAAAACGAGACAAGAACACUAGAACACCAGUUAUACGUGGUUCGGUCAAUUGACCUACAUCCACGGACGAAAGAGGAGCAAAUUACUACUAUAAAAGAGAGACACUUACAAAUGCAUUAGGAAGAUGUUCCUAGGCCAUAAAACACCUUCAGCUUACUAAACAAGAAAAACCCAAACCGUAAGCACGUUUUCUUUUGAUGCCUCUUGUGCUGCCUCUUGUGCUGCAUGUGGUACUUCUGACUUCAAAGCCCAGACCCUUAUUUAUAGUUCCAAAACGAGACAACAAGUCUGAUUUUCCCGAUGUGGGACUAUGGGACUUGCCAAACUAACAAAUCUCCACCUUGGCAUGUCCCAACAAAACUUGCUCCACCUUUUUCAUAAAAGCUCCAACGGGCAAUCACCAACAAUGAACAUCAACCAAGUCCAAGCACUGCUUGAACUUGUAAACUGGAACAAGCUUCGUAAGCAUAUCAGCUGGAUUGUCUUUCGUAUGAAUUUUUUGAACAAGGACCUUUCCCUCAGUAAUAGUAUCCCAUUUGCAUCCAACAAUUUUCUUAUCCGAAGGCGGCUUCACAAGAUCCCAAGUUCUAUUCGGAUGGAGAGACUCAAUUUCUUCAUUCAUCACAAUCAACCACUUCGCGGAAUUAUCACAAGAAACUGCAUCUGAGUAGGAAGUAGGCUCACCAACUUCACUUGUCUCUUCUGCAACAGACAAAGCAUAUGCAACCAAAUUUUCAUAUCUUUGUAGUGGUUGAAUAUCUCUCCGUGGUCUAUCUUUGGCUAUUGAGUAUUGCUCUUCCUCUGGAUCAUCUGUGUCAGUAGACUCGAGACGACCUACUGGCAUUCUUUGAGUAGAAGAGUUCGACUUAAAGGAAUCUGAACUACUAAUCUCAAGCUCCACUUGCUUCUGCGCACUAUCAUUUGUACAACUAGUAGAAUCCUCUUUGGAAGAUAACAUAGACAAUUCAUCAAAAGUAACAUCUCUACUGAUUACAAAUUUUGGGGAUUUGGGAUCAGAACACCAUAAUAUGUAUCCUUUCACCCAGAAGCAUACCCAAGGAAAAUACAUUUUUUAGCUCGAGGCUCUAAUUUUCCUUCAUUUACAUGCAUGUAUGCUGGACACCCAAAAAUUUUAAAAUCAGAGUAAUCAGCAGGAGUACCUGACCAAACUUCCUCUGGAGUUUUAAUUGUUAGAAGUAACGACUAUUCAUCAUAGCCUCUCUAAAGUCUUAUCAGAUGAUAUUAAUUACAUUCAUGUCGAAAUUGAUUCUAAGUGCCUUGUCGACAUACUUAGUGGUACAUCUCGACUUUGAUAGAACUAAUGAGAUUAUGCUAUUGUUAAGAUAUUUUCACUCUUCCUUGAUCACAAAUGUAUAUCAUAAAUAUAAUAGAGGAGCCAACUGACUAGCGAACUAAGCUAGAGUGCAUCUAAUUACUAAUUUUUAGGUGAUUUUUGUACCCUAUGCUAUCUAAUAAUUUUUUUUUCCUUUUUGCAAAACAAAAAAAAAGUAUGUCAGGAUUGACGUUGACUUGCAAUUUUUGUAAUCCUCAUUUAAUGAUAAUGUUCAUUGAGAAGAAAUUUGAUUUCCAAGUUUGCUGGUCAACAAUUGAACAAUUGAAUUUUAUACAAACGCCGCAGCAAAGUGAGGUCUCUCGCAUAAGCUGCUUCCUCUAGUCUCGGAUCCAUGCUCAAUUAGUCUCCAGAUGUGCUUGCAGAUAACUCGACGCAAGAACACAUAUACAUGUAAGCAUGUGGUUGGAGUUAGGAAAAGCUAUAUCAUAAGUCCAACAUGUUUCAUCAACAUUCUCAAACACAAAGACCGCACAUCGACUGUCCCACCUCCAGGAAAUUUACCACAAGGUAAUUUUGGCAACCCAACAAGACAAUAAAACGGAAAGAAUAAAACGAGACAAGAACACCAGAACACCAGAUAUACGUGGUUCGGUCAAUUGACCUACAUCCACGGACGAAAGAGGAACAAAUUACUACUAUAAAAGAGGGACACUUACAAAUGCCUUAGGAAGAUGUUCCUAGGCCAUAAAACACCUUCAGCUUACUAAACAAGAAAAACCCAAACCGUAAGCACGUUUUCUUGUGGUGCCUCUUGUGCUGCCUGUGGUACUUCUGACUUCAAAGCCCAAACCCUUAUUUAUAGUUCCAAAAUGAGACAACAAAUUUGAUUUUCCCGAUGUGGGACUAUGGGACUUGCCAAACUAACAAAUCUCCACCUUGGCAUGUCCCAACAAAACUUGCUCCACCUUCUUCAUAAAAACCCAACGGGCAAUCACCAACAACGAACACCAACCAAGUCCAAGCGCUGCUUGAACUUGUAAACUGGAGCAGGCUUCGUAAGCAUAUCAGCUGGAUUGUCUUUCGUAUGAAUUUUCUGAACAAGGACCUUUCCCUCAGCAAUAGUAUCCCAUUUGCAUCCUACAAUUUUCUUAUCCGAAGGCGGCUUCACAAGAUCCCAAGUUAUAUUCCGAUGGAGAGACUCAAUUUCUUCAUUCAUCACAAUCAACCACUUAGCAGAAUUAUCACAAGAAACUGCAUCUGAGUAGGAAGUAGGCUCACCAACUUCACUUGUCUCUUCUGCAACAGACAAAGCAUAUGCAACCAAAUUUGCAUAUCUUUGUGGUGGUCGAAUAUCUCUCCGUGGUCUAUCCUUGGCUAUGGAAUAUUGCUCUUCCUUUGGAUCAUCUGUGUCAGUAGACUCGGGACCACCUACUGGCAUUCUUUGAGUAGAAGAGUUCGACUUAAAGGAAUCUGAACUACUAAUCUCAAGCUCCACCUUUCUGCGCACUAUCAUUUGUACAACUAGUAGAAUCCUCUUUAGAAGAUAACAUAGAUAAUUCAUCAAAAGUAACAUCUCUACUGAUUACAAAUUUUGGGGAUUUAGGAUCAGAACAUCAUAAUCUGUAUCCUUUCACCCCAGAAGCAUACCCAAGGAAAAUACAUUUUUUAGCUCGAGGCUCUAAUUUUCCUUCAUUUACAUGCAUGUAUCCUGGACACCCAAAAAUUUUAAAAUCAGAGUAAUCAGUAGGAGUACCUGACCAAACUUCCUCCGGAGUUUUAAAGUCAAGUGCUGUAGAAGGAGCGCGGUUGACAACGUAACAUGUCAUAUUAAUCGCCUCUGCCCAAAAGUCUUUUGUCAACCCUGCAUUUGAGAUCAUACACCUUGCUCUCUCCAAGAGUGUUCUGUUCAUACGUUCGGCCACACCAUUUUGUUGAGGCAUCAUCCUAAUAGUGCGAUGCCGAACGAUUCCUUCAUUUUUGCAGAAUUCUUCAAAGUCACCUUCAUAAAAUUCCAUGCCAUUAUCUGUUCGAAGCCGCUUAAUCUGUUUACUUGUUUGCUUCUCAAUCAAAGCCUUCCAUUGUUUAAAGGUUAGAAAAACAUCACUUUUAUGCUUCAAAAAAUAAACCCAAACUUUCCUGGAAUAAUCGUCAAUGAAAGUUAACAUAUACCUAGCACCACCCUUAGACUGAACAUGAGCUGGACCCCAAAGGUCUGAAUGAAUAUAGUCAAGAGUACCUUUCGUUUUGUGAACUGCCGGAGAAGUGAAGCUGACUCUUUUCUGCUUUCCAAAAGUGCAGUGUUCACAAAAAUCAAGUGGCCCAAUACUCUGUCCGCAAAGUAGACAUCUUUUGCUCAAUAUGCUCAAACAUUUUUCGCUCAUAUGACCCAAACGCAUAUGCCAUAAUUUGGUGAUGUCAGGAUCAGACAAUGAUGAUGACGAAACUACAACCGAACCUGUGAUAGUAGUUCCCUGCAGAAUAUACAAGCUACCAGACCUACAAGCUUUCAUAACAACAAGAGCAUUUCUAGAAACUUUCAUAACUCCAUAUUCAGCUGUGUAUUUAUACCCAAGGGCCUCUAGGGUGCCUAAAGAGAUGGGAUUCUUUUUUAAAUCACGAAUAUGUCUAACAUUAGUGAGCGUCCUCACAAUACCAUCAUGCAUUUUAAUUCGGAUUGUGCCUCUACCAACAACAUCACAUGCGGCAUUAUUGCCCAUCAAAACAAUUCCACCAUUACAAGAUUCAUAUGUGGAAAACAAAUCUCUAUUGGGACACAUGUGAUAAGAACAACCCGAAUCUAAAAUCCAUUCAUUUUUAGACAUCGUCCUGUCAUCAAUAGCAGAAAAAAUAUUUUCAACAUUCUCAUCAGUUGCUACACUAACUUCAGCGGACUCAAUAGUUUUCUCAACAAGUUUUUCCUUUUGCUUUAAUUUAUUUUUCAAUUUAAAGCAAUCAGAUUUAAUGUGCCUCAUUUUAUGACAAUAUCUGCAUUCCAAAUUUCUAUGUCUGAAUUUAGAUCUAGAUUUAGAUCUUCUACUAUCAAAUUCUCUUUUAUCCAUUCUACCCCUGACAACCAGACCCUCAGCCUGAUUCUCUCUACUUUCCCCAGUGAUAUUCCUGUCUAUCUGCUCCUUAGAUUUCAGUGCAGAUUUAAUUUCUUGAUACGAAACUGUUUCUUUUCCAUAAAUCAAAGUAUCACGGAAAUGAUUAAAAGAUUAGGAAGAGAAUAAUGCUCGAUCGGGCCUUCUUAUCCAUACCCGCAAGACAUUCCUUUAUCGUACCAUCUGGAAUGUUCUCAGCUCCCUUAAGUGCCAAAUCAACUUAAUCUUGAAUCAGAAUGGCCUCCAUCUUGCCAAAGUUGACAUUUCUGUCGAAUUUCUCGAUAACGAUCUUUGUUAUUGUCAUUGUUGCCAAAAGAUCCCAAAACCAGGCUCUGAUACUAGUUUGUUAGAGCUAGCCCCAGGAAAUUUGAUUUACAUGGUUCGGUCAAUUGACUUUGACCUACAUCCACGGACGAAAGAGGAGCAAAUCACUACUAUAAAAGGGACUAUUACAAAUGCUUUAGGAAGAUGUUGCUAGGCCAUAAAACACCCGAAAAUACUAAACAAGAAAAACCAAAUUAUUUAACUGAGUGUGGACUUAAACGCAAAGCAAACACUUAGGUUUUUCUUAUGGUGCCAAUUGUGGUGCUACUUGUAGUGUAUUUGACUUCAAAGCUCAGACCCUUAUUUAUAGUUCCAAUAGAAAAUAACAAGUCUAAUUUUCCUGACGUGAGACUAUGGAACUUGCCAAACAGACUCAAUCGAAAUCGUCACCUAGUGAUGCCAAAGCCUCUGCUACUGUCGCCUUACACAGAAGCCGACUAAAUUGGUCUGAACCUAAAGAAAUGUACAACAACAAACCAGCAACACUAAUGGUGGUGGCGACGUUGAUCGCCACCACCACAUUCGAAGCUGGGUUGAACCCCCCAGGUGGGUUUAACCAGAAAGAUGAUGUUGGUUCCCCCUACACUUCUAGUCUCAAGUUAUUCCUGCUGUUCGACAUGUUCGGGUUGUUUGCAUCCUCGAGCAUCGUUCUUUUGUUGAUAUGUUGUGUUCCCAGACGGAAGAAAACGGUGAUGGGAAUCCUAAAGUGGAUUCUAUGGCUGGCGGUGUUCUCGACGGCGUUAGCAUUCUCGAUCGCCAUUAGGCGAAUAUGAUUCUAUCCGCCCUGCACUACCAUCCUUCUCAUGAGUUGGUUCGGAAUCCUCAGUCUCUUCAUGGCUUGGGUGUGCUUUAGAGUGAUCAGGUGCUUAUGGCGCAAAGGUGGAAGCUGGAAGAAGAAGGAUAGAGAAGGAGAAAGCCACGGAGGCCCCACAAGGGCUGUUGCCAUCUGCACCAAGAUUGCGGUGGGCGUGUUGAUUAUAAUUCUUUUAGGCGGAUUUCUUAUUGUAAAUAUUACAUCUUGAUCACACAAAGGAUGGCCCAUGUUCGAUAGAUGAUAUUGGAACCAAUUAUCUUGAGCCGUAAGAUCCCAAAAAAUAUAGGAUCUUUUUAUAAUGCAAUAGAUAACUAUAAGAUUGAGAUCGUAAUAAAUACUCAGAAUGAUUAUACGUAUAAUUCGAUUAUCAAUAAAUUGUAGGAACAUGCAUCAAACUCGAGAAGCAUGAAGUAAUGAUUUAUCGAAUCAAAUUUUCAAUCUACGAUAUAUAAUUGAUCUUGUGAGAUCGAGUAGACAUUUCGAUCAAAUAGUUCGAGUCCACACAUCGUGUCAUGUUACCAACCUAAUAAGGCGGGAUCCCUCGUGACAUAUCGACCAAUGAAAAUAGAGUGUUGACCUAAUGGGAGUGAUGUAUCGGUGAUUACCUACAUGUCGUGUCUCCCAUAUAGUAUUGACAUAUCGACUAACUAAAUUAUCAUUAUGUUUAUUCAUUUAUUUUUUAUUUAUAAAAAUAUAAAUUAAAAAAAUGUAUGUUUAUAGAUAGACUAAUUAUCAUAUAUCAUGAAUAAAUUAAUAAUAAUAAUAAUAAUAAUAAUAAUAAUAAUAAUAAUAAUAAUAAUAAUAAUAAUAAUAAUAAUAAUAAUAAUAAUACCUUGACUACUUACACAUCCAAGAGACAAGGAAAGAAUUCUUUCAUCUUUCUAGACCUGAAGACACAAAUAUCUAAAAUUCAAUUGUUAAUUUGCAAAAAAUCCUUCUUCCUAAAGGAUCAAGAUUCUUGUUGACCCAGCAAACUUACAAAUCAGGUAUCUUCUCAACUAACAUUAUCAUUAAACGAAGAUCACAAAAAUUGCAAGUCAACGUCAACCCUAAGAUACAUUUUUUUUUUUUUUGCAAGAAAGAAAAAAACAUACUUAUUAGAUAGCAUGGGUACAAAAGUCACCCUAAAGAUCUGAAGUAAUAAUCAAGAAAAAUUCUGAAAGCCACUCCCCUUGCCAAAAAAAUAUAGUAGCUAGAUGCACUCUAGCGUAAUUCAAUUCGCUAGGUAGUUGACAACUCUAUGUGUAUUUUCAAAUUAUUAAUUAUUUUUUAAAAAAAUUAGGUUGUAAAUAAUAAUAAAUUAGGUUGCCAAUAAAAAUCUUCAAACUGAAAAUGGGGAAAAAAAAUCCCAAAAAAGGGUCAUAAAUCUUACAUAUGAAGGGUUAACAAACAUUGAUUUGAUCUGUCACACAGAAUGCUUUAUUCCAUUGGAAUUCUGCCACUUCUACCAUCCAAAUAAAUAUUCACAAUAAAUGAAAGAUUUCGACUGCUAAUAUGUCGAUAAACAUUUCUUCAGCGGAUCAUUGAAAUGGAGACGUCCUGUGUAGAUUUUUUGUUCUGCUCCCAUCUUUCUUUCGCUGAAACUAGUUGGAAAGUGAUGAUGGAGCGAGCCAUGUCGGCUUGUCCCAAAGCGUGGAUGAUUUUUUUUUUAUUCUUUUGAAAAGUAAAGAAGAUUAUAUUAGAUCAGCUAAAGCUGCAAAAUCGGAAGAGGUCAAAGUUGUCCAACGAAGACGAGAAAAAAAAAGGUGAUUAUUCAUCAAAAAAAAUUAGCAUGGUCAUGAGCUACGAGAUCGAGAAAGCGAUCAAAAUAUUGAAACCGGACAACUUAAGGAAACGGACGACCGGGAUAAUGGUAUGGAGACCCACGAGUCUCGCUGUUAGGGUUGAAGAAGUUGAUAAGCCGGACAGGACACCAAGGUGAUGUUAGGUUAACGUGUUCAGCAUGCAGUCCCGUGAGCACGGCCGUUGAAGUCUGCAAAAACAUCCAAUUUUUCUCCGAACAAUUGCGCACGCUGUUGCUAUCCCACUCGCCGUUCGGCUUUCGUCUCCCUCGCUGCGUUUGCACCGCAUCGAUUUCAUGGGAUAAGAUGCUUCAAAGGGACUGCAGUGGCCACUGUGAGCUCGAUGACCCAGUCGUCUCUUUGGCGUCUGGUGGAGAGGCUCAACAAGAAGGAGGAACUGCUCCAAUCACAAGCCUCAAAUGGACUGCAGUGGCCACUGUGAGCUCGAUGACCCAGUCGUCUCUUUGGCGUCUGGUGAGGACAGGCUCGACAAGAAGAAACCUCGCCUCCCGAACCAGGAGGAACUGCUCCAACCACAUGCUUACAUGUAUAUGUGUUCUUGCGUCGAGUUAUCUGCAAGCACAUCUGGAGACUAAUUGAGCAUGGAUCCGAGACUAGAGGAAGCAGCUUAUGCGAGAGACCUCACUUUGCUGCGGCGUUUGUAUAAAAUUCAAUUGUUGACCAUCGAGCUCACAGUGGCCACUGCAGUCCAUUUGAGGCUUGUGAUUGGAGCAGUUCCUCCUUGUUGAGCCUCUCCACCAGACGCCAAAGAGACGACUGGGUCAUCGAGCUCACAGUGGCCACUGCAGUCCCUUUGAGGCAUCUUAUCCCAAGGAAUCGAUGCGGUGCGGACGCAGCGAGGGAGACGAAAGCCGGACGGCGAGUGGGAUAGCAACAGCGUGCGCAAUUGUUCGGAGAAAAAUUGGAUGUUUUUGCAGACUUCAACAGCCGUGCUCACGGGACUGCAUGCUGAACACGUUAACCUAACAUCACCUUGCUGUCCUGUCCGGCUUAUCAACUUCUUCAACCCUAACAGCGAGACUCGUGGGUCUCCAUACCAUUAUCCCGACUUUGACCUCUUCGGAUUUUGCAGCUUUAGCUGAUCUAAUAUAAUCUUCUUUACUUUUCAAAAGAAAAAAAAAAUCAUCCACGCUUUGGGACAAGCCGACAUGGCUCGCUCCAUCAUCACUUUCCAACUAGUUUCAGCGAAAGAAAGAUGGGAGUGGGAACAAAAAAUCUACACAGGACGUCUCCAUUUCAAGGAUCCGAUGAAGCAAUGUUUAUCAAUAUAUUAGCAGUCGAAAUCUUUCAUUUAUUGUUAAUAUUUGGAUGGUACAAGUGGCAGAAUUCCAAUGGAAUUAAGCAUUCUGUGUAAGAGAUCAAAUCAAUGUUAGUUAACCAUUCAUAUGUAUCAGAUAGCAGACAGGUCGUGUCUGUCAUUUUCUACGUGAAGAAAAGUUAGGAAAAGCUACAUCAUAAGUCCAUCUUGUUUCAUCAACGUUCUCAAACACAAAUACCGCACAUCGACUGUCCCAGUCUCGCUUCAUUCUCUAGGUAGUUUCGGCGAACGAGAAAGCAAGCUGAGCAAAAGUAUUCUGCGAAGUCCAGACCAAUGGGAUGCAAGACGAGAAGAAGCAGCUUACGUUUUGGAGACGACUUGGUCAACAAGGCCGGCGUCUUGAUGGAGACAGGACCAAGAAGACCGAGCGGGAGGAAUCGUUAGAGAUUUUUAGCCUAUAUAUAGGCGUCCUAACUUCGAGUUGUUUGUGACCAAAUCGAGAGAGAGAGAGAGUGUGUGUGUGUGUGUAACUAAGCAUGGAUCCGAGACUAGAGGAAGCAGCUUAUGCGGGAGACCUCACUUUGUUGCGGCGUUUGCUACAAGAAGACCGGCUCCUGCUCCACAGGCAAGCCAUCGCCGCGGCUCACCUGUCGGACAGCCCCCUCCACAUCGCUGCAUCGCUCGGCCACUCCGACCUGGUCCGGGAGAUCCUCGCCGUAAACCCGGAGCUCGCGCAUGGCCGCAACAGCGAAGGCCUUUCCGCCUUGCACCUGGGCGCUGCCCAAGGCCACUUAUCCGUGGUGAACGAGCUGCUGCAGUACGCAGCCGCUGCCAAUCUCUGCUUGGCGACCGACAACGAUGGCUUAAUGCCGGCCCACACUGCAGCCUUACGAGGCAGGCUUGAUGUAUUGACUGUGUUACUGGAUGCGUGCCCGGAGUCCGCGCGAGCUGUGACAUCGCAAGGUGACUCCAUCCUUCAUCUUACUGUGAAAUCAAACAGCUUCGAGACCGUGCAGUUCUUGCUGAACAGAACGGAUGAGAACGAUGAGCUACUCAACUCUGGAGAUGCGAAAGGCAACACCGUCCUGCACCUUGCUGUGGCCAGAAAACAGCUCCAGGUAGGUAUUCCUGAUCCCGAUUAGAGGAAAUAGAUUUAAAUGUCUUCUUCUUCUUCACAAGGUUUUUAUGCAUCCCGUACAUCUUUAGACACAGCCUUGUCAUAGCAAAAAGAUACAAGUAUUUUGCAUUUCAUUCACGAAAAGCAAAUGGAAAUAGUAAGGAGCUACAUGUUCAAAUUAAAUUCAGACACAAAUAAAACAUCAUCAUAGUACAACAUAAAUCUCAUAAUAUUUAGAUUUAAUAAUUUUAGAAAUUUAAAUCUCCUAAAAAAUAACUUAGAUAAACAGAAUUCUGGUUUUUCUCCAUUACCCCCUUUAUUUGAAAUAAGUUCUCGAUGAAAAUAUCAUAUUAAAUAAUUAUUUAUGAAUAUGACAUAAUAUUAAUAAUGAUGUCUAAUAGUGCUUAUUCUUUUAACACGUUCAAUAAAUAUCUUGGGUGAUAAUCCUUUCGUUAAUGGAUCUGUAAUCAUAAGGACAAUGCUAAUAUAUUCAAUUAAUAUUAUUUAUUUCUAAACUUUCUAUUUUCACCGCUAAAUAUUCCAUUUUCAUAUAUUUAUCACCUUUAUAGCACUCACUUUUAAAGAAGAAUACUAUUACAAAAUUAUCAUAAUAAAGUUUUAAAUUUUUUUAAAGAGUAAAUCAUGAAAACGAGAUUUGAGCUUUUGAAUUGUAGCCUUAAAACAUGUCACAAACUAAACUUCUAUGAUGAAUGUAGCAAUGAUGGACUGCUUUUAUUUUGCCCUCAUCCACAAAAUUGCUCCUCAACUAAAAGGAACAAAUAGUCAAGUGUUAUUUUUUUUAUAUCAACACAUCUAGCAAAAUCUGAAUCUAAACAUCCAAUUACUUCGAGAUUAUUUGAUCUCCUAUGAGCGAGUAUAUAAUCCUUCAUUCCUCAUAAAUAUCUUAUAACUUUCUUUAUAGCUUUUUAAUAGUCAAAUCUAGAAUUACUUUGAUAUCUGCCCAAUAUUCCAAUAGCAAAACUGAUGUAUGACCUAAUACAAAUUUAGGCAUGCAUUUAACUUUCCAGGAUAGAUACAUAAGGAAUUCUUUUCAUUUGUUCCAAUUCAUUCUUUGAACAUUGCAUAAGAUAAAUUUACCCCCUUUCCGAAUUGGAAUAAUACCUCCUAAAUAAUUUUUUUUACUUUUUAAAAAUUUUAUUAAUAUAUUUUUUAUGAGAUAAUCCUAACAAUCCUUAUGAUUGAUCUUAAAAUAUUUUAAUUCCUAUCACAUACAUGGGUUGCCUCUCUCAUAUUUUUUUAAUUCAAAGUUUUUAGAAAGAUAUGUUUUAUUUCAUAUAAUAAACUAAGAUUAUUAGUAGCAAGCAAAAUAUCAUCAACAUUUACAAUCCAAAAUAUAAACUUGCUCUUGCCAACCUUCAUAUAUGUACAUAGAUCAACAGUAUUUGCAUAAAUGUAAAGGAUUUUAUGUAUCAUUAAACUUAAGAUAUCAUUAUCGAGAAGUUUGUAUAAAUUUAUAUAUUGAUUUCUUAAGUUUAUAUAUCAUGUGUUUUUCAUAUCUAUUUUGUAUAACUCUAAGUUAUAAUGAGCUACUAUGAUCGUAAAAAUUCUGAAAAAAUCUUUUCUGAAGAUUAAAUAAAAAAAUCUUUUAACUCUUUGAGUGAAACCUUUAGCACCAAAUCUGACCAUGUGUCUUUUGAUAUUAUCAUUCAAGUAAUAUUUGAUCUUAAAGACCUAUUAAUAAUCGACCUUUUUUACAUCCUUCAAGUAAUUCAUCAAAGGUCUCAAACUUGAUUUUCAUUCAUAUAUUUUAAUUUUUGCAUUAACCAUCUUUAUAGAAAUUAUAGUUUCAAUGGCCUAUGAAAAUAAAACUGGACCAUCGAAUAUAACUAAGUCAUAAUUAUUAGAAAUAAUAGAUCUCCUUUAUCUUUGAGAUAUUCUUAAUGUUAUUUUUUGUGAUUCACUUAUUGUAGAUCGAUUGAUAUUUAUUGGAAUGAUUGAUCAUUUAUUGAUUUAUUGCUCUUGAACAUUAUCGAAUUGUUUAACAGUUUGGGGAACAAGAAGUUACUAGUAAAGCUACCUCUAUUUGAAUUUUUUAAAUAAUUAUAUUUCGUGAUUCACCACUCUCACUUAUUUUACAAUUCUGGGAAUAAAAUCUAUACCUCUUAGAUUAUAAAUAUUAAAUAAUAAAAACAUAAUUUGAUACGAUAAUAAGAUAAAUAAAUUAAAAAAUAAAAGCUAUAAAUAGUAAAUCAUGACUCUGAUACCAUAUCUAAAUAGUUUAAUCCUUGCACAACUAAAACAUCAUUGUGCACAACAUAAAUCUCAUGAUCUUUAGAUUUAAUGUUUUUUUAUAAGAAAAUCAACUUUAAUUGAAAAAAAAUACCUUGACAUAAUUCUAGUUUCCCUUGUUUUGACAUAUGCUAUGGAUGAAAAGAGAGGAUCAUGUUCCAAAAUUUAUAGUGACAAAAGAUGUCUUUCAUCAAAAUAUUAAUUUGAAAUUAAUAUAUAUUCAUUAGGAAGACAAAUCUAUUUGAGAAUUACAUCUUUUAUCGUUAAUAGAUACGAUCUUUAAUAUCAUAAGAAUCAAAAGUCAUGUGUGCCACGUUAAUUCUGACACAUAGCUCGAAUGAAUGCAGACCGUGAAGUUGCUUCUGGGAAGGCGAGGUAUCGAAGUUAACGCCACAAACAUGAGAGGCGACACCGUCCUUGAUAUGCUACUGGAUUCACCCUGCCAACAUGGAGAUCUAUUGUUGGGAGACCUGAUUCGGGCAGCAGGUGGAAGAACCGCCGCAAAAGAAGAAAGGAAGACUCAGCCGAAAUCGUCACCGAGUGAUGCCAGAGCCUCUGCCACUGUCGCGUCACACAGAAGCCGACCAAAUCGUUCUGAACGUAAAGAAAAGUACAACAACAAACCAGAAGCACUAAUGGUGGUGGCGACGUUGAUCGCCACCAUCACAUUCCAAGCUGGGCUGACCCCCCCUGGUGGGUUUAAGCAGAAAGAUGAUGGUGGGCCGACUCCCCCCAAUGCAGAAGUCAAUUUUGAUGGGAGUUCAAGUGAAGGGGAGGCAGUUCUAAAAGAUGGUCUCAAGUUAUUCCUGCUGUUCGACAUGUUCGCGUUGUUUGCAUCCUUGAGCAUCAUCCUCUUGUUGAUAUGUUGUGUGCCCACACAGACUAAAAUGAUGACGGGAACCCUAAAGUGGAUUCUAUGGCUGGCGGUGUUCUCGACGGCAUUAGCAUUCUCGACCGCCAUUAUGCGAAUAUUUCCCUAUCAGCUCGACACUGUCAUCCUUCUCAUGAGUUGGUUGGGAAUCCUCAGUCUCUUCAUGGUUUGGGUGUGCAUUAGAGCGAUCAGGUGGUUGUUGCGCAAAGGUGGAUGCUGGAAGAAGAAAGAUGGAGAAGGAGGAAGCCACGGAGGCCCCAGAAGGGCCGUUGCCAUCGGCGCGAAGAUUGUGGUGGGCGUGUUGAUAAUAAUUAUUUUUGGAGUAGUUCUUAUUGUAAAUUAUUUAGUGUUUGUUUAUGUAGCAAAUAGGUCAAAUAAUAGAAUAAUAUGAUCUAUCAUUAUUCUUAUAUGGUUUAUCCUUUAUCAUCUUUUAAAGUUACUUUAUCUUAUUUUCAGAAUGUAAUUUGCUUUUCUGUAAACUUGUUCCUGUACGUCAUCAUCUAUAAAAAAAUUAAUGGAAGUUCAUUUUAGUGUGUUUUCCAUUUUUUUACACAGUAUAUAGUAAAUAUGUAACUUUAGUCUUUAUUAACUUUUGUUUUGUUCUCACAGAUGAUUUAUACAAAUUUUGUGGAACGCUACAUCUCACACAUAUUAGUGACUUAUUAGGAAAUUAAUUUCGGUGAAGGAAAAACUGACAUAUAUAUAAUAAAAAAAAUUAGGAAGAAAUAUUUGUUUGAACCCUUAGCCAACAAUUUUUGCAUCUUGAUCACAUAAAGGAUGACACAUGUUCGAUCGAUUGGCUAAUAAAGAUCACUUUUAAGUCCAUUCUAAUUGAGAUCAAGACCUUACAGAAGAUUAAGUCAGGAAGUCCCCAGUAAGACUCCUUUGAUACUUAGGGUUAAUAAAAGUAAUCAAUUAUCUUGAGCCAUAAGCCCCCAUGUAUAGACUAGAGGGUCUUUUUAUAAUGUGAUAGAUAACCAAUGGAAUUAGAUCAUAAUGAUUACCUAGAACAGUCAUACGUAUCAUCUAUUAAUAAGUUAUGGUAACAUGCAUCGAACUCAAGAGCAUGAAGUAAUAAUUCAUUGAAUCAGCCUUUCGAUCAAUGCUAUAUAACUGAUCUUAUGGGACCGAAUCGAUAUAUCGAUUAUAUGGUUCAAGCCCACACAUAUAAAAAAUCUUGUCAGGCUACUAACCUAAUAAGGUCAAAUCCCUCAAGACAUAUCAACCAAAUGGGAGUAGAGUAUUGGCUUGAUGGGAGUGAUGUAUAGGUGAUUGCCUACAUGUCAUGCCUCUCAUAUCAGAUAUAGUGUUGAUUGUAUAAUUAGAUUUGAUCAUUAACUAGAUUAUCAUAAUGUUUAUUCAUUUAUUUUUCUCUAUUUAUAUAGGAAGAAAUUUAAAAAAUAAAAUUUAUGUUUAUAGAUAGAUUAAUAGCCUUGUAUUAUCAAUAAAUUAUAAAUAAUUAGAUUAUAUAAUAAUAAUAAUAAUAAUAAUAAUAAUAAUAAUAAUAAUAAUAAUAAUAAUAAUAAUAAUAAUAAUAAUAACUGAAGGUGAUAACUGGUGAUAAAUAAUUUAUGUUUAUAGAUAGAUUAAUAGUCUUUUUACAGGGGAUUUUAACUGAAGAUGUCUUUAUGCAGCAACCCCCUGGUUUUGUUUAUCACCAGUAUCCAAGACAUGUCUGCAAAUUACAAAAAGUCAUUUAUGGACUCCGUCAAGCUCCACGAGCUUGGUAUACUGAACUUGGAUCAUUUCUGAUAUCAAUUGGCUUCAUUAACUCCAAGCUGAUACCUCUUUAUUCCUACGACAACAACAUGGAAAUACAAUAUAUCUUCUAGUAUAUGUAGAUGAUAUUAUUGUUACAAGCAAUGAUCCCUUGGAGAUUCAGACAUUUUUAAAGCAAUUGGCUAAUCGAUUCUCCCUCAAAGAUUUAGGACCCUUGAGCUACUUUCUGGGAAUGGAAGUAAUAUUUACAUCCUCAGGUCUCCUCCUUUCACAGAGAAAGUAUAUUCAAGACUUAUUAUCAAAGACAAAUAUGUAGGAUGCGAAAGAAGUUGCUACUCCUCUCUCUACUAGUGAAUCACUCAAAUUAUGUGAUGGCAACCCUACCACGGACUCAACUCGAUACCGACAAGUACUUGGCUCCUUACAAUACUUGGCUCUCACCCGUCCAGAUAUCUCAUUUGCAGUCAAUAAAUUAUCUCAAUACAUGCACCAGCCUUCUGCUAUGCAUUGGUCUGCGGUUAAACGAAUUUUGCGGUAUCUUAAAAGGACCCUUAAUCAUGGUCUCUUUCUCCACAAAACCACUCAACUUCAUCUUCAUGCCUUUGCUGAUGCUGAUUGGGCGGGAAACUUUGAUGAUAGAACCUCCACGUCAGGAUAUGUGAUUUUUCUUGGAUCUAAUCCAAUCAGUUGGAGUUCUAAGAAGCAAAAGACAAUAACCCGGUCUACAAUUGAAGCUGAAUAUCGUGCUAUUGCUACCGCUACUGCUGAACUCAAUUGGGUCACAAAUCUCCUCAAGAAACUCAAAGUUAGUUCUACCCUUACUCCUACAAUAUAUUGUGACAAUGUUGGAGCUACCUACUUAUGUGUCAAUCCAGUGUUCCGCUCACGCAUGAAACACAUUGUCAUUGACUUUUACUUCGUGCGAGAUCAAGUUGUCAUACAUCAACUUCGUGUCUCUCAUGUCCAUAUGGCUGAUCAACCAGCAGACUCACUCACGAAGCCUCUAGCCUGCAAACUAUUUUUGUUGCAUCCAAGAUCCUUGACAGGAGCUCGAUCUUGCGGGGGGCAUGAUAACAGAGAGUUUCCUCAACUGCAUAGCAGAUAAGAUUUCCUCAACUGUAUGAGGCAAUCUCUCUGCUCAGUUAAAGAAAUCUUAUCUUUCACCAUGUAUAAAUAGACUUCAUAUGAUACUAAUUGAAAUGUGUUUUUCUUCGUUCUCUCGUUUCUUCGCUACUCCUCUCCUUAAAAUAGUAGUUAGAUGCACUUUAGCAUAGUUUGCUAGCCAAUUGGCAACUCUGUUACAUUUAUGAUAUCAAGAAAGAGUUAAAACGUCUUAACGAUAAAGGGAGGAUGCUUAAGGGAAAUUGGGAUGUGCCACUUAGGAUGUCCACAAAGCACUUCAAAUCAAUUUCAAUAUGAAUACUACUGAAACAUCGAAUAAGAUUUUAGAGAGGCUACGAUGAAUAUAUGCAACUAGCAAAAAGGACACCACUAGUAUUAAAAUGCCAAAAACUAGUACCCUCCUUGACAUAUUGAUUGAAAGAGUUACCACAGUUCAAUUUUAGCCACCUAGAUUGAGGCCUAGUUCAAGAGAUCGUUUCAUAGAAACUUUAGAAUGAUCCUAUAAUAAUAAUAAAAAAUUAUCCUAACAAAGAUAGUAUUAGAAGAAGCUUUGAGUUGCUAAAAGAUCCAAUUUGAAGGAGGAAAAGAGGAAGAGAAGUGUGAUUUUGANNNNNNNNNNNNNNNNNNNNNNNNNNNNNNNNNNNNNNNNNNNNNNNNNNNNNNNNNNNNNNNNNNNNNNNNNNNNNNNNNNNNNNNNNNNNNNNNNNNNNNNNNNNNNNNNNNNNNNNNNNNNNNNNNNNNNNNNNNNNNNNNNNNNNNNNNNNNNNNNNNNNNNNNNNNNNNNNNNNNNNNNNNNNNNNNNNNNNNNNNNNNNNNNNNNNNNNNNNNNNNNNNNNNNNNNNNNNNNNNNNNNNNNNNNNNNNNNNNNNNNNNNNNNNNNNNNNNNNNNNNNNNNNNNNNNNNNNNNNNNNNNNNNNNNNNNNNNNNNNNNNNNNNNNNNNNNNNNNNNNNNNNNNNNNNNNNNNNNNNNNNNNNNNNNNNNNNNNNNNNNNNNNNNNNNNNNNNNNNNNNNNNNNNNNNNNNNNNNNNNNNNNNNNNNNNNNNNNNNNNNNNNNNNNNNNNNNNNNNNNNNNNNNNNNNNNNNNNNNNNNNNNNNNNNNNNNNNNNNNNNNNNNNNNNNNNNNNNNNNNNNNNNNNNNNNNNNNNNNNNNNNNNNNNNNNNNNNNNNNNNNNNNNNNNNNNNNNNNNNNNNNNNNNNNNNNNNNNNNNNNNNNNNNNNNNNNNNNNNNNNNNNNNNNNNNNNNNNNNNNNNNNNNNNNNNNNNNNNNNNNNNNNNNNNNNNNNNNNNNNNNNNNNNNNNNNNNNNNNNNNNNNNNNNNNNNNNNNNNNNNNNNNNNNNNNNNNNNNNNNNNNNNNNNNNNNNNNNNNNNNNNNNNNNNNNNNNNNNNNNNNNNNNNNNNNNNNNNNNNNNNNNNNNNNNNNNNNNNNNNNNNNNNNNNNNNNNNNNNNNNNNNNNNNNNNNNNNNNNNNNNNNNNNNNNNNNNNNNNNNNNNNNNNNNNNNNNNNNNNNNNNNNNNNNNNNNNNNNNNNNNNNNNNNNNNNNNNNNNNNNNNNNNNNNNNNNNNNNNNNNNNNNNNNNNNNNNNNNNNNNNNNNNNNNNNNNNNNNNNNNNNNNNNNNNNNNNNNNNNNNNNNNNNNNNNNNNNNNNNNNNNNNNNNNNNNNNNNNNNNNNNNNNNNNNNNNNNNNNNNNNNNNNNNNNNNNNNNNNNNNNNNNNNNNNNNNNNNNNNNNNNNNNNNNNNNNNNNNNNNNNNNNNNNNNNNNNNNNNNNNNNNNNNNNNNNNNNNNNNNNNNNNNNNNNNNNNNNNNNNNNNNNNNNNNNNNNNNNNNNNNNNNNNNNNNNNNNNNNNNNNNNNNNNNNNNNNNNNNNNNNNNNNNNNNNNNNNNNNNNNNNNNNNNNNNNNNNNNNNNNNNNNNNNNNNNNNNNNNNNNNNNNNNNNNNNNNNNNNNNNNNNNNNNNNNNNNNNNNNNNNNNNNNNNNNNNNNNNNNNNNNNNNNNNNNNNNNNNNNNNNNNNNNNNNNNNNNNNNNNNNNNNNNNNNNNNNNNNNNNNNNNNNNNNNNNNNNNNNNNNNNNNNNNNNNNNNNNNNNNNNNNNNNNNNNNNNNNNNNNNNCACAAAUAGCUUCCAACACCAACUGGAGUUGAAAGGGGAAGAGGCACUCUAAGAUUCGAUAGUGUCAUACUUAGCAUAAGCAACCUUGACCCAAACGAUAUCAGCACUAUUAGGAAGAUAAAAAAAUUCUUUUGACAUGCAAUGCAUAUUUGGUUAUGUGCAUGUCCUUGAUGCCCAAGCCACUAAUGAACUUAGGCAAAGUGAUGGUGUCCCAAGAGAGCAAGUAAAGAGACCUUUAGAGUUGUCAUGGUUGGACCAAAGGAAUAUGUGGGUUAAUGAAGAGAUUUUAUUAAUAACAGUAGAAGGAGACACUUAAGGAGUGUAUAGGGAUGGAGUUUAAGUACAAAUUAAUCAAGGUGACACAACCAGCUUGUGAUAGAAGGGAGCCUUGCCAUUUACCAAACUUGCUGGUAAUCGGUUGAAUGAUACUAUUUAUACUAGAAAUUGAAAUGUUCACACUUAAUUCCAUUGGAAUUCUGCCACUUGUACCAUCCAAAUAAAUAUUCACAAUAAAUGAAAGAUUUCGACUGCUAAUAUAUCGAUAAACAUUUCUUCAGCGGAUCAUUGAAAUGGAGAAGUCCUGUGUAGAUUUUUUGUUCCCACUCCCAUCUUUCUUUCGCUGAAACUACUUGGAAAGUGAUGAUGGAGCGAGCCAUUUCGGCUUGUCCCAAAGCGUGGAUGACUUUUUUUUUCUGUUGAAAAGUAAAGAAGAUUAUAUUAGAUCAGCUAAAGCUGCAAAAUCCGAAGAGGUCAAAGUCGUCCAAGCAGGACGAGAAAAAAAAAAGGGUGAUUAUUCAUCCAAAAAAAAUUAGCAUGGUCAUGAGCUACGAGAUCGAGAAAGCGAUCAAAAUGUUGAAACCGGACAACUUGAAGGAAACGGACGACCGGGAUAAUGGUAUGGAGACCCACGAGUCUCGCUGUAGGGUUGAAGAAGUUGAUAAGCCGGACAGGACACCAAGGUGAUGUUAGGUUAAAGCGUUCAGCAUGCAGUCCCGUGAGCACCGCAUCCAAUCCGAUGAAAUGAUGACUUCGGCAAAAACAUCCAUCCAAUUUUUCUCCGAACAAUUGCGUACGCUGUUGCUAUCCCACUCGUCGUUCGGCUUUCGUCUCCCUCGCUGCGUUUGCAACGCAUCGAUUCCUUGGGAUAAGAUGUUUAAACGGGACUGCAGUGGCCAUGUGAGCUCGAUGACCAAGUCGUGUCUUCGGCGUCCGGUGAGGACAGGCUGUACAAGAAGGAGGAACUGCUCCAAUCACAAGCCUCCAUAUAUAGGUGUUCUAGCGUCGAUUUGUCUGCAAGCUUGUUUUCAUUCAUCCGUCCCUCCCUCCCUCCCUCCUGAUGUAUCAUCAGCCAGAUGGAAAUAUAGGGUGUUGAUGAGGUCUGUUUCGCUGAAACUAAUUAAAAAUUUAAGUGAAGAUAGGUUUUAGGAAGAUAUUAUUGUAAUUAGAAGAAAAGUUAGGAAAAGCUAUAUCGCAAGUCCAUCUUGUUUCAUCAACGUUCUCGAACACAAAUACCGCACGUCGACUGUCCCAGUCUCGCUUCAUUCUCUAGGUAGUUUCGGCGAACGAGAAAGCAAGCCGAGGAAAAGUAUUCUGCGAAGUCCAGACCAAUGGGAUGCAAGACGAGAGGAAGCAACUUACGUUUUGGAGACGACUGCGUCAACAAGGCCAGCGUCUUGAUGGAGACAGGACCAAGAAGACCGAGCGGGAGGAAUCGUUAGAGAUUUUUAGCCUAUAUAUAGGCGUCCUAACUUCGAGUUGUUUGUGACCAAAUCGAGAGAGAGAGAGAGAGAGAGACAGAGUAACUAAGCAUGGAUCCGAGACUAGAGGAAGCAGCUUAUGCGGGAGACCUCACUUUGUUACGGCGUUUGCUACGAGNNNNNNNNNNNNNNNNNNNNCAAUACGAGAGAGAGAGAGAGAGAGACAGAGUAACUAAGCAUGGAUCCGAGACUAGAGGAAGCAGCUUAUGCGGGAGACCUCACUUUGUUACGGCGUUUGCUACGAGAAGACCGGCUCCUGCUCCACAGGCAAGCCAUCGCCGCGGCUCACCUGUCGGACAGCCCCCUCCACAUCGCUGCAUCGCUCGGCCACUCCGACCUGGUCCGGGAGAUCCUCGCCGUAAACCCGGAGCUCGCGCAUGGCCGCAACCGCGAAGGCCUUUCCGCCUUGCACCUGGCCGCUGCCCAAGGCCACUUGUCCGUGGUGAACGAGCUGCUGCAGUACGCAGCCGCUGCCAAUCUCUGCUUGGCGACCGACAACGAUAGCUUCAUGCCCGCCCACACUGCAGCCUUACGAGGCAGGCUUGAUGUAUUGACAGUGUUACUGGAUGCGUGCCCGGAGUCCUUGCGAGCUGUGACAUCGCAAGGUGACUCCAUCCUUCAUCUUACUGUGAAAUCGAACAGCUUCGAGACCGUGCAGUUCUUGCUGAACAGAACAGAUGAAAACGAUGAGCUGCUCAACUCCGGAGAUGCGAAAGGCAACACCGUCCUGCACCUUGCUGUGGCCAGAAAACAGCUCCAGGUAGGUAUUCCUUAUCCCAAUUAGAGGAAAUGAAUUUGUCUUCUUCUUUUCACCAGGUGUUUAUGCAUCUCUGCACCUUCUGAUACGAGAACUUUCCCACAACAAAAGAUAAAUACUCUUUGCAUUUCAAUCAAAAAAAGGCAAAUGGAAAUACCGAGGAACUUCCUGUUCAUAGCUCUGGUAAUACGAUUGAAUGCAGACCGUGAAGUUGCUUCUGGGAAGGAGAGGUAUCGAAGUUAACGCCACAAACAUGAGAGGCGACACCGUCCUUGAUAUGCUACUGGAUUCACCCUGCCAGCUUGGAGAUCUGUUGUUGGGAGAACUGAUUCGAGCAGCAGGUGGAAGAACCACAGCAGAAGAAGGGAAGACUCGGCCGAAAUCGUCACCGGGUGAUGCCAGAGCCUCUGCCACUGUCGCGUCACACAGAAGCCGACCAAAUCGUUCUGAACCUAAAGAAAAGUACAACAACAAACCAGCAACACUAAUGUUGGUGGCGACGUUGAUCGCCACCAUCACAUUCGCAGCUGGGCUGAACCCCCCUGGUGGGUUUAAGCAGAAAGAUGAUGGUGGGUCGACUCCCCCCAUUGCAGAAGUCAAUUUUGAUGAGAGUUCAAGUGAAGGGGAGGCAGUUCUAAAAGAUGAUCUCGAGUUAUUCCUACUGUUCGACAUGUUCGGGUUGUUUGCAUCCUUGAGCAUCAUCCUCUUGUUGAUAUGUUGUGUGCCCAGACAGACUAAAAUGGUGAUGGGAAUCCUAAAGUGGAUUCUAUGGCUGGCGGUGUUCUCGACGGCAUUAGCAUUCUCGACCGCCAUUGUGCGAAUAUUUUCCUAUCAGCUCUACACUGUCAUCCUUCUCAUGAGUUGGUUCGGAAUUCUCAGUCUCUUCAUGAUUUGGGUGUGCUUUAGAGCGAUCAGAGGCUUGUUGCGCAAAGGUGGAUGCUGGAAGAAGAAAGAUGGAGAAGGAGAAAGCCAGGGAGUCCCCACAAGGGCCGUUGCCAUCCGCACGAAGAUUGUGGUGGGCGCGUUGAUGAUAAUUAUCUUUGGAGUAGUUCUUAUUGUAAAUUAUUUAGUGUUUGUUUAUAUAUUAAAUAUGCCAAAUAAUAGAAUAAUAUGAUCUAUCAUUAUUCUUAUAUGGUUUAUCCUUUAUCAUCCUUUAAAGUUACUUUAUCUUAUUUUCAGAAUGUAAUUUGCUUUAAUCAUUAUUAACUUUGGUUUUGUUGUUACAGAUGAUUUAUUAGAGUUUUGUGGAACAUUAUAUCUCUUACAUAUUAAUGAUGUAUUUAUUUAAAAACACUGGAUUCAGCAAAUCUAAAACUAAUCAAUAGUACAAUGAUGCACUAAUAUAUUUAUAAAAUCUUAAAUAUCUGAAUCAUUAUCCAUACUUGAAUAAUUUAGAACCGACAUAAUAUUAAAUGGUGCAUAAAAGAUAACAAGGAUUUAAUGUAUAGAAUUAUCAAUUAUUAACAACUGUGUGCCUAUACUUAUGUUGCACUUCAAAAAAAACAUAAUUAAUCCUUCAUAAAUACUUUUUUUUUAUUAUAUGAAAGGAAUUUAGAAUAUCUUUUAUGUCUAAUUUGGAUUUUUUUCUGUAUCAACUAUAAUAUUUUUAUAUUAUUACUAUUUUUAUUUAAUUUUUUAGGAUAUUCAUUUUAUUUGGAAAAAUAAUGAAUGUAUUCUUCAAAUAUGUAUUAUGCAACCCCUCUGCUACAUGUUUUUAUUGUCAUCAACUCUUUCGGUGGUUAUUAUUAUUAUUAUUAUUAUUAUUCUUUUAAAGGCUGAUGUCACAAUUUAUUGUUCAAUUACAUUUAUUUUUUUCCUUUUCAUCAAGCUUUUAAAAUUUGUUCUACGAUGAAGAUGGAUUUACAACUAUAGACUUGUCAUAAGUUUUUUUUAUUUUUAUUAUAAAAAUAAGUAUUAAUUACUCUUAUAUAUGUUAUAUGUAUAGUAAUAUGGUUAAAUUCCCCAAAAAUCAAAAUUCAAUAUACAAAUUUAUAAUUUCAUAAUAAAAUUACAAGUUAUCAUCAAUUUCAAGUGAAAUUAGUAGGGAGAACCCACCUCAAUCAUAUAUCACAUGACUAUUAGCUCAGCAUAAAGAACAAACCUAUGUCAUAUGAUAGACACCUAAGUCCCACAAAAAAAGGCUUGUUAUAAAGAUUCUUCAAUUUACUAUUAUCAAUAUCAAUUACUGUUUACUCAUGAUUUCACUUUUUAUUUCAAUCUUAAUUUGAGUAUAGAUGGGAUUAGAUGAGACGCCCAACUUUAUCUUUUUUUACAUUGAUCAUCGAAUAAGCAAACAAGCAUUAGAGUCAUCCUUUUAGUUGUCUUUUUCUCUCAAGCAUGAUCACAAUUUUACUAUGCUUAAUCCGAGAUACGAUAACAGUUCCACCGACCCAUCCAUUCGAAGUCGAAGAAUCAUCCAUAUGACACAAAGGUUUUUUAAAUAUGUCAACCGUUUUAACCCUAAGUGUCAAAUAGGUGUUAAUUAUGUGACAUUGAUGAAUUGUGUCAAUCAUGUGAUAUGAAGGUAUAAUCCACAUGAUGCUAAAGUAUCGAUCAUAUCUUUAUUCCUAUAUUAUAUUUUAAUAUAUUUUAUUAAAUGACUCAGAUAACUUGAUUUAUAAAGAUUUUGACUCUUAAUCGGAAGAUUAUAUAUUCACAAUCAACUCAUGUAUUUUAAUGCCAUAAUAUUUUUAAAAAAUACUAUUGUAAAAAAUAGAAUGGAGGAAAAAAUGAAAAUAUAAAAAGUAUAAGCUUGAGUUUUUUCCCAUAAAUAUAUCCUCCUUUACGAAAGAUGAUGCCUAUGGUCCGAUCGCACUUGACGUAGAAUAAUAUUUAGCAGUUAAAAGUGGCACCCCUAAUAGUUCCAUGUUAGGAAUCCUAACGACAAGUCCACUAAAAGUCACUAAGCUAAGGUAAUUAAGAUAUUAAAGUGAUCAAACCACAAGCAUAUGCAUUGUUUUGUAUCUUUCUUUGCAAUCAUAAGAUAAUACAUUAUUUUAGUUAGGUUAGAAACUAAUCCAAAUCAAAUAUUAGGACAAUCUUUUUGCCUCUCAUGCAACCUUGAAUCAAUACCUCUUAUGGUCAAAGUCUUCAAAUAGACUUCGUACAAGUCAUUGUUAAUUGUUGGCCUCAUGUGAAGUGCUCUGACUCAUCAUGCAUGAACUUGAAUGGAUGAUAGAGCAACGAGGGAAUGAGACAUGCAUCUACAAUAAAAGAUUUGAGCAACGAGGGAAUGAGACAUGCAUCUACGAUAAAAGAUUUGGUUGACGUAAAGAGCCACCGAAUCAUGGUGACAUAGGUCGUAAGACUCGAGUCUAGUUGGAUAAUGACUCAUACGUAAAUUAGAUAUUUGGUCUCCAUACCCAACUAAUUAGAUCGAAUUAAGGUGUUUUAUAAGCUAAUAAUGCAAUAAUACAUCCUUUGAGCUUCAUCUUUUCAGUCGCUUAAAAAUAUUUCUUCUUUAUCCAAACUUUAUAUACUCCUUGAAACUCUGAAAUCUAACCUAAUAAUGCAAUAAUACAUUCUUCGAGCUUCAUCAUUCGAUUCACUUAAAAAUAUUUCUUCUUCGAGUCAAACUUUAUAUUCUUCUUAUAACUUUGAAACCUUCUUAUGCAAUACAAGCGAAGACUAACAUCGAGAGACUAUGGGGCUAUGAAAACUUCAUAACUAAUUUAGAUUUCAUAUUCUCCAAAGACUAAUGUUGAAAAUAUAUUUAAUAGAGUCCUUCAAUACUUAACAUACAUCUUUAAAUAUCUAAGAUAAGAGAAAGAAGCAAAAAUAAAUUGAUAGCUCGAAUUCUAGAUGAUUGGAUGAAUGUUUUACGUUACAAUCCAUAGUAACAUGACAAUGUUUUUUGUUCUUAGCCUAUUGACUCCGAACAAGAAAGUUGAUGAUUGGUAAACAAAGAAAAUUAUGAAAUCAUAAAGAAUUCAUCUUUCAUUUUCGUUGCCAUCUUAAUGGAAAACUAUGCAUCAACUUCUGGGAAAGAAAAGAUUAGAACUUUGUGAUGUUAGGUAGAAAGCCACAGUGAGGACUUACAAGACCAAUUUGGCACCACAAGCUAUUGGUCAUUGUCUAUAUCAUGCAAGGACAUGAGGAGGAACAUCUAGAAUAGGAAGUUGGACCACUGAACAACUUUCUAUCUUGUGGUUUCCAUGGAUUCUUUUACUUAUGAUUAAUAAUUCCAUUUCCUAAAGUUAGAUGCCUCUUCAUUGAUUUCAAUUAAUGGUAGCUGCUUUUUGACUUGCUCAUUUUUGCAAGUCAUGGGACCUAUGUCAUAUGAUGUACUCAUGCGCCAAAGCUUCUUCCAAAACGAAGGAGAGUAAUCUUUUUUCUGUCUUUUUCUCCUUUUUUUUUUGGAAUUAAGAUAUUCUUAUAAUUUUUCUCUACGUUGGUGUAGUUUUUCUUUCUCAAAAGAAGCAAUUAUACCUCCUAAUUUGAUUUAGGGUUUCACUUAAAAGGGUAAGACUGUAGGCUAUUAAAACUCACUAUCAGCUGAAUCUGAUGGGUUGUCAGCCCGUCAGCCCAACAGUUUAUGCAUCUCUGUACCUUCUGAGACGAGAACUUUCUCAUAGCAAAAGAUAAAUACUCUUUGCGUUUCAUUCAAAAAAAGCUAGUGGAAAUACUAAGGAACUUCCUGUUCAUAACUCUGGUAAUACUAUUGAAUGUAGAACGUGAAGUUGCUUCUGGGACGGCGAGGUAUCGAAGCUAACGCCACAAACAUGAUAUGCUACUGGAUUCACCCUGCAAACAUGGAGAUCUAUUGUUGGGAGAACUGAUUCGGGCAGCAGGUGGAAGAACCGCCGCAGAAGAAGGGAAGACUCAGCCGAAAUCGUCACCGAGCGAUGCCAGAAGCCGACCAAAUCGUUGGUGAUACGGCAUAUUUUGGCGCCCAAGACAUGCUAAGUCAGAAUCCGUACUAAGGCACUACUCGACCUCGGAAACCCCAAGGCGACACCGUCCUUGAUAUGCUACUGGAUUCACCCGUCGCCUCACACAGAAGCCGACCAAAUCGUUGGUGAUACGACAUAUUUUGGCGCCCAAGACACGCUAAGUCAGAAUCCGUAGCACUACUCGACCUCGGAAACCCCAAGACGACGCCGCCCCCGAGACACGCCAAGUCAGAAUCCAUACUAAGGCACUGCUAGACACGUCCACCACGCCAACCUACGUACGACUGACCCACGUACAGUAAUAUAAAGACCUCUAGCCAGUAUCUGGCAGGGGAAGGAAAAAAUCAAUGGAUCACUCCACUGACUUGCUCAUCAGAGGGGCCUCAUCAGGUGAUCCUGACGAGAGCCAUUUUUGUAGGAAAACGUGGUCACCUCACGAAGACGAGCUGCCAGCCACCCUGGAGAGGGAGAGACGUAGCUCGGCAUACACAGUGCCCGGAUCGGCACACCAAGGAACGCUGAUCCACACAUCGUCACGAGGGCCUGGUCGACCUCGACAUCCAGCUCAGCCAACAGAAGACUCCCGACAUCGACCAGUGAACCAGGCUGUGCUGACUCACUAGUCACGACACAUUUGUUCACUAACAUUUUGGUGCUAGAAGGAGGGCAUGUCGCAUGAGCAUCCCGCGGGAGCUAUCCCCGAGGGAGAACCACUGGCCGGUCACCCUUUUGUCGGGCCCGGAGAUCAGCCCCUCCCCAUCCUUCGAGAUGGGGGGGAUCCCGGUCUCGACGCUAGAUCAUUGCUGGCGCCCGAGACCAGGUCGGGACAGGAGAAGCCCAAGACCAAAUGAUGGACCCGAGAGGUCCGCCCGAGCAGAGCAUACCCACACAUUGCCGAGUCACACUACCCCACUUCGAGCCUGACACUGUAUCAUCUGACUCGACGGACGACUCGCUUAGGGCCCAAUUGUCCUGGGUCAACCAACGUCUGGACGUGUUCCAGCGUGAGUUUCGAAAAUCGCAAGGCGAGUCCAGCGAAGGUGACUCGGGCGAGUCCCCUUUCACUUAGGAAAUAUAGGGUAAGCCGGUACCUCUCAACUUCAGCCUACCGACAUUGGAGACAUACGAUGACAGCUCUGAUCCCAUGGAUCCAAUGCCGAGUUGCAUCUCGGCCAAUCCAACGCCCGAGUCGUAUCUCGGUCAACCCAACGCCUAAGUCACAUCUCGGCCAAUCCAACGCUCGAGUCGCAUCUCGGCCAACCCAACGCCCGAGUCACAUCUUGGCCAAAUCCAGCAUCUGAGCCAUGCAUCUCGACCAAUCCAACACCCGAGUCUACUCUCGGCCAAAUCUAGCAUCCGAGCCACACACCUUGGCCAUCCAAUGCCCGAGCCAUGCAUCUCGGCCGAUCCAACGCCCGAGUCGCAUCUCAUCCAAAUCCAACGUCCGAGCCACACACCUCGGCCAAUCCAACGGCCAAGCCAUGCCUUAAUCGCACCUCGGCCAAUCCAACGCCCGAGCCAUGCCUCAGUACACCUCGGCCAAUCCAACACCUAAGCCAUGCCUCAGUCGCAUCUCAGCCAAUCUAACUCCCAAGCCAUGCCUUGCCAGACUAGUCCAUUAUCCGAGUUGCCCCAUGUCAAUCCCCAACUCACUACUCGUCAAAUCUCAAACCGAGUCACUCUAGCUCGCUCGCCAACUUGCAAACUCGGCAGCCGUAACUCUGGGCCGUGCCAAACCCGUUAUCCGACCUACGACACGUCAGUUUCGCCUCAUCGGUUUUGCCUCAUCAGGCUCCUGCCGCCCGAUCAGCAGAGUCAAUCCUGCCCAAAGCACGAGGCGUUGUCCCUCUAAAUUGCCCCACGAUGAGUUAAUCCAACUUCCCCUCAUGAGCCAUUAGCCUCACUCCGACCCAAGCAUGCCGCCCAACCCUUUAAGGACCCUACGACACGCCUUAGAGGGGGGGAGAAGUGAUACGAUAUAAUUUGGCCCCCAAGACACGCCAGGUCAGAAUCUGUACUAAUGCAAUGCUCGGCCUUGGGAACCCCGAGACGACGUCGCUCCCAAGACACGUCAGGUCAGAAUCUAUGCUAAGGCACUGCUUGGCACGUCCACCACGCCAACUUGCGUACGAUCGACCCACAUACAGUAAUAUAAAGACCUCUAGCUAGGUGGGGAGGAGGUAAAAAACAAAUCAAUCGGUCACUCGACUGACUUGCUCGUUGGAGGGGCCUCGUCGGGUGAUCCCGACGAGGGCCAUUUUUGUAGGAAAAGGUGGCCACCUCAAGAAGACGAACUGCCAACCACUCGAGAAUCGUCGUCCAGUGCACGAAGGAGAGCAGCCAACCAGCCCGGAUCUCGACUAACGCCAACCAGCACCCCUUCCCGAGGGCGCCGCCACCUCACGAAGACGAGCUGCCAACCACUCCGGAGAAAGAGAGACGCGGCUCGACAUACACAACGCCCGAAUCAGCACACCAAGGAACGAUGAUCAACACUCCGUCGUGAGGGCCCGGUCGACCUCGGCAUCCAGCUCAGUCGAUAGAAGACUCCUGACAUCGACCCGUGGACCGGGUCGUGCUGACUCAUCAGCGACAACACUUUUUUUCAUAACAGGUGUGCUUUUGAGCGAUCAGGUGCUUGUUGCGCAAAGGUGGAUGCCGGAAGAAGAAAGAUAGAGAAGGAGAAAACCAUGGAGGCCCCAGAACGGGUGUUGCCAUCUGCACGAAGAUUGUGGUGAGCAUGUUGAUUAUAAUUCUUUUAAGAAUAUUUUUUUAUAAAUUUAUUAGUGUUUAUGUACAUAAGAAAAGGAUCAAUAAUAGAAUAAUAUGACAUCAUUAUUCUUAUAUGGUUUAUCCUUUAUCAUCUUUUAAAGUUACUUUAUCUUAUUUUCAGAAUGUAAUUUGCUUUUCUGUUUUUUUUUCCACGGUAUAUAGUUAGUAAAUCUGUAACUUUAAUCAUUAUUAACUUUUGCUUUGUUGUUACAGAUGAUUUAUGAGAAUUUUGUGGAACAUUAUAUCUCUUACAUAUUAAUGAUGCAUUUAAAAACACUGGAUUCAAAUCUAAAACUUGAUUAGUACAAUGAUGCACUAAUAUAUUUAUAAAAUCUUAAAUAUCUGAAUCAUUAUCCAGACUUGAAUCAAUUAGAAUCAAUUAGAAGCCGAUCAAAUCGUUGGCACCCCUUCCGACGCCAGGCUAGACCUUCUAAGGAUGACCGCAGCCCCCGAAAAGUAUGGUCUGAACUUAAAAGAAAGGUACAACAACAAACCAGCAACACUAAUGGUGGUGGCGACGUUGAUCUUGAUGGGAUUUCAAGUGAAGGGGAGGCAGUUCUAAAACAUGGUCUCAAGUUAUUCCUUCUGUUCGACAUGUUCGGGUUGUUUGCAUCCUUGAGCAUCAUCCUCUUGUUGAUAUGUUGUGUGCCCAGACAGACUAAAAUGGUGACGGGAAUCCUAAAGUGGAUUUUAUGGCUGGCGGUGUUCUCGACGGCAUUAGCAUUCUCGACCGCCAUUGUGCGAAUAUUUUCUAAUCCGCCCUACACUGGCAUCCUUCUCCUGAGCUGGUUCGGAAUCCUCAGUCUCUUCAUGGUUUGGGUGUGCUUUAGAGCGAUCAGGUGCUUGUUGCGCGAAGGCGGAUGCUGGAAGAAGAAAGAUGGAGAAGGAGAAAGCCACGGAGGCCCCAGAAGGGCCGUUGCCAUCUGCACGAAGACUGUGGUGGGCGUGUUGAUAAUAAUUCUUUUAGGAGUAUUUUCUAUUGUAAAUUAUUUACUGUUUGUUUAUAUAGCGACAAGGUCAAAUAAUAGAAUAAUAUGACCUAUUAUUAUUCUUAUAUGGUUUAUCCUUUAUCAUGUUUUAAAGUUACUUUAUCUUAUUUUCAGAAUGUAAAUUGCUUUUCUGUAAACUUGUUCCUGUACGUCAUCUUCUAUAUAAAAAUUAAUGGAAGUUCAUUUUAGUGUGUUUUCCAUUUGCUUUUCUGUAAACUUGUUCCUGUACGUCAUCAACGUCAAUCCUGACAUACUUUUUUUUGUUUUGCAAGAAAGGAAAAAAAUUAUUUAUUAGAUAGCAUGGGUACAAAAGUCACCUUAAAGAUAUGAGAUAAUAAUCAAAAAAAGAAAAGUUCUGAGAGUCACUCUCCUCACCUAAAAAUAGUAAUUAGAUGCACUCGGCAAGCCCCAUAGUCCCACAUCGAGAAAAUCAAGUUUGAUAUCUCCUGUUUAAACUAUAAAUAAGGGCCUAGGCUUUGAAGUCAAAUGCACCACAAGUGGCAUCAUAAGAAAACCUAAGUAUUUGCUUUGGUUUUAAGUCCACACUCAGUUAAAUAGUUUGGGCUUAUUGAUGAGGUUUUUCUUGUUUAGUAUUUUUGGGUGUUUUAUGGCCUAGGAACAUCUUCCUAAGGCACCGUACUACGUAAAUCUGAUGUUCUUGUCGCUUUUAUCUUUUUGCUUUAUUUUCUUUGUUGUGUUGUCAAAAUUAUCUUGUGGUAAAUUUUCUAUUUUCUAGGGCUAGCUCUAAUAGUUGGCUCCUCUAUUAUAUUCAUGUUAUACAUGUGUGAUCAAGAAAGAGUGAAACAUCUUAACAAUAGCAAAAUCUCAUCAAGAUGCUCUAAGAAAAUUGAGAUGUGCCACUUAGGAUGUCCACAAAGCACUUAAAAUCAGUUUCAAUAUCAAUACGAUUAAAACCAUCGAAUAAGAUUUUAGAGAGUGUAUGAUGAAUAGUUGCUGGUUCAUCAGCACUUAAAAUGACGAUUAGAAGAGAAUGCUCCAUCUCCUCCAAUAUAUGCAACUAGAAAAAAGAACACCACUAGUAUUAAGAUGAAAAAACUGGUACCCUCCUUGUCAUAUUGAUUGAAAGAGCUAUCACAGUUUAAUUUUAGCCACCUAAAUUAAGACCUAGUUCAAGAGAUCGUUUCAUAGAAACUUUAGAAUGAUCCUAUAAUAAUAAAAAAAAAAUUAUCCUAACAAAGAUAGUAUUAGAAGAAGCUUUGAGUUGCUAAAAGAUCCAAUUUGAAGGAGGAAAAGAGGAAGAGAAGUGUGAUUUUGANNNNNNNNNNNNNNNNNNNNCACAAAUAGCUUCCAACACUAACUAGAGUUGAAAGGGGAAGGGGCACUCUAAGAUUGGAUAGUGCCAUACUUAGCAUAAGCAACCUUGACCCAAACGAUAUCAGCACUAUUAGGAAGAUAAAAAAAUUCUUUUGACAUGCAAUGCAUAUUUGGUUAUGUGCAUGUCCUUGAUGCCCAAGCCACUAAUGAACUUAGGCAAAGUGAUGGUGUCCCAAGAAAGCAAGUAAAGAGACCUUUAGAGUUGUCAUGGUUGGACCAAAGGAAUAUGUGGGUUAAUGAAGAGAUUUUAUUAAUAACAGUAGAAGGAGACACUUAAGGAGUGUAUAGGGAUGGAGUUUAAGUACAAAUUAAUCAAGGUGACACAACCAGCUUGUGAUAGAAGGGAGCCUUGCCAUUUACCAAACUUGCUGGUAAUCGGUUGAAUGAUACUAUUUAUACUAGAAAUCGAAAUGUGAGAAGGGACAAUCCAAAUAUUCACAAUAAAUGAAAGAUUUCGACUGCUAAUAUAUUGAUAAACAUUUCUUCAGCGGAUCAUUGAAAUGGAGACGCCCUGUGUAGAUUUUUUGUUCCGCUCCCAUCUUUCUUUCGCUGAAACUACUUGGAAAGGGAUGAUGGAGCCAUGUCGGCUUGUCCCGAAGCGUGGAUGAUUUUUUUUUCUUCUUUUGAAAAGUAAAGAAGAUUAUAUUAGAUCAGCUAAAGCUGCAAAAUCCGAAGAGGUCAAAGUCGUCCAACGAAGACGAGAACAAAAAAAGGUGAUUAUUCAUCCAAAAAAAAUUAGCAUGGUCGUAAGCGACAAGAUCGAGAAAGCGAUCAAAAUAUUUAAACCGGACAACUUGAAGGAAACCGACGACCGGGAUAAUGGUGUGGAGACCCACGAGUCUCGCUGUUAGGGUUGAAGAAGUUGAUCAGCCGGACAGGACACCAAGGUGAUGUUACGUUAAAGCGUUCAGCAUGCAGUCCCGUGAGCACCGCAAUCCAAUCCGAUGAAAUGAUGACUUCGGCAAAAACAUCCAUCCAAUUUUUAUCCGAACAAUUGCGCACGCUGUUGCUAUCCCACUCGCCGUUCGGCUUUCGUCUCCCUCGCUGCGUUUCCAACGCAUCGAUUCCUUGGGAUAAGUUAUUUAAACGGGACUGCAGUGGCCACUGUGAGCUCGAUGACCAAGUCGUCUCUUUGGCGUCUGGUGAGGACAGGCUGUACAAGAAGGAGGAACUGCUCCAAUCACAAGCCUCCAUAUCGAUUUAUCUGCAAGCUUGUUUUCAUUCAUCCAUCCCUCCCUCCCUCCUGAUGUAUCAUCAGCCAGAUGGAAGGAUAGGGUGUUGAUGAGGUAUGUUUCGCUGAAACUAAUUAAAAAUUUAAGUGAAGAUAGGUUUUAGGAAGAUAUUAUUGUAAUUAGAAGAAAAGUUAGGAAAAGCUAUAUCAUAAGUCCAUCAUGUUUCGUCAACAUUCUCAAACACAAAUACCGCACGUCGACUGUCCCAGUCUCGCUUCAUUCUCUAGGUAGUUUCGGCGAACGAGAAAGCAAGCUGAGCAAAAGUAUUCUGCGAAGUCCAGACCAAUGGGAUGCAAGACGAGAAGAAGCAGCUUACGUUUUGGAGACGACUUGGUCAACAAGGCCGGCGUCUUGAUGGAGACUGGACCAAGAAGACCGAGCGGGAGGAAUCGUUAGAGAUUUUUAGCCUAUAUAUAGGCGUCCUAACUUCGAGUUGUUUGUGACCAAAUCGAGAGAGAGAGAGAGAGUGUGUGUGUGUGUAACUAAGCAUGGAUCCGAGACUAGAGGAAGCAGCUUAUGCGGGAGACCUCACUUUGUUGCGGCGUUUGCUACAAGAAGACCGGCUCCUGCUCCACAGGCAAGCCAUCGCCGCGGCUCACCUGUCGGACAGCCCCCUCCACAUCGCUGCAUCGCUCGGACACUCCGACCUGGUCCGGGAGAUCCUCACCGUAAACCCGGAGCUCGCGCAUGGCCGCAACCGCGAAGGCCUUUCCACCUUGCACCUGGCCGCUGCCCAAGGCCACUUAUCCGUGGUGAAAGAGCUGCUGCAGUACGCAGCCGCUGCCAAUCUCUGCUUGGCGACCGACAACGAUGGCUUAAUGCCGGCCCACACUGCAGCCUUACGAGGCAGGCUUGAUGUAUUGACUGUGUUACUGGAUGCGUGCCCGGAGUCCGCGCGAGCUGUGACAUCGCAAGGUGACUCCAUCCUUCAUAUUUCUGUGAAAUCAAACAGCUUCGAGACCGUGCAGUUCUUGCUGAACAGAGCUGGUGAAAACGAUGAGCUGCUCAACUCCGGAGAUGCGAAAGGCAACACCGUCCUGCACCUUGCUGUGGCCAGAAAACAGCUCCGGGUAGGUAUUCCUGAUCCCAAUUAGAGGAAAUGAAUUUGUCUUCUUCUUUUCACCAGGUCUUUAUGCAUCUCUGCACCUCCUGAUACGAGAGCUUUCUCACAACAAAAGAUAAAUACUAUUUGCAUUUCAUUCAUAAAAAAUCAAAUGGAAAUACCGAGGAACUUCCUGUUCAUAGCUCUGGCAAUACGAUUGAAUGCAGACCGUGAAGUUGCUUCUGGGAAGACGAGGUAUCGAAGUUAACGCCACAAACAUGAGAGGCGACACCGUCCUUGAUAUGCUAUUGGAUUCACCCUGCCAACAUGGAGAUCUAUUGUUGGGAGAACUGAUUCGGGCAGCAGGUGGAAGAACCGCCGCAGAAGAAGGGAAGACUCAGCCGAAAUCGUCACCGAGCGAUGCCAGAGCCUCUGCCACUGUCGCGUCACACAGAAGCCGACCAAAUCGUUGGCACCCCUUCCGACGUCAGGCUCGACCUUCUAAGGAUGACUGCAGCCCCCGAAAAGUAUGGUCUGAAUCUAAAGAAAGGUACAACAACAAACCAGCAACACUAAUGGUGGUGGCGACGUUGAUCGCCACCAUCACAUUCGAAGCUGGGCUGAACCCCCCUGAUGGGGUUAAGCAGAAAGAUGAUGGGAGUUCAAGUGAAAGGGAGGCAGUCAAGUUAUUCCUACUGUUCGACAUGUUCGGGUUGUUUGC